rnacentral:rRNA from 1 species
UACGUAGGGGGCAAGCGUUGUCCGGAUUUAUUUGGCGUAAAGAGCGUGUAGGCGGCUUGGUAGGUCCGCUGUGAAAACUCGAGGCUCAACCUCGAGAUGUCGGCGGAAACCACUUGGCUAGAGUCCGGAAGAGGAGAGUGGAAUUCCCGGUGUAGCGGUGAAAUGCGCAGAUAUCGGGAAGAACACCUAUGGCGAAGGCAGCUCUCUGGGACGGUACUGACGCUGAGACGCGAAAGCGUGGGGAGCGAACAGG